CGGCGGCCAGCCGGGGCUCGGGCCGCUCCUCGCCGCGCAGCGCGGCGAGCGAGCGCAGGAGCUGCUCCUGCUCGGGGUCGAGGGCCGUCGGC
rnacentral:tRNA from 1 species